rnacentral:lncRNA from 1 species
UGAGGGCAUGGACUUUGUAUGUCUUGUUCACUGCUGUGUCCCCUUCACUGCUAUGUCCUCAGGGCCCAGCACAGGGCCUGGCACACAGCUGGAUCUCGAAAAAGUUGUUGAGUGAGUGAAUGAAAGAAGGAAGUUCCUCCCUAAGCCAAUUCAGGCAACGUUUGAUGCCUGCUGUUUGCCAGGCCUGGGCACUCCCCGCCAAGGAGCCCUGUGUGCGCAGGGAAACAGACAUACACCUGUGCCCAGAUUGUGUCUACCAGGGCAGAGUGAGGGGGAAGCCAUUCUGCUGAGUUUCCGCGUGUCAAGAGCUCCAGCAAGCGAUCUAGAGGGGCAAGGAGGCUGGUGAGGGAUGCCAAGCAGGGCUCUCCGGCACACUGCUUCAAGGGAGCCAGGGGACAAAUCCAAGCUGUGGCGGCGGCGGGCCUAAAACCUGCCUCUGCACUAACUCACCGUGUGACCUCAGGAAAGUCACUCUGCCUCAGAGAUGGUUUUCCUCUCUGUCGAAUCAGAUAGCACUGUUUACCUCAGGUUUGCCGUGAGGAUGAACUGAGAACACAGAGCAUUUAGUCGAGUACCUGAUGCACUAGGAGACUGGCCCUGAGCUCACAUCCAUGCCCAUCUUCCUCUACUUUAUAUGUGGGAUGUCUGCCACAGCACGGCUUGCCAAGCAGUGCCACGUCCACACCCGGGAUCCGAACUGAUGAUCCCCGGCCACUGAAGAGGAACGUGCACAUGUGACCACUGUGCCACCAGGCUGGCCCCUAACAAUUGUUUUGAAAACUCCCUUUUCUCCCUCUUACUCUCCCUGAAUCUGCAACUGGGGACUGACUUACUGCGGUGUGUCCCUUCAUUCAUUCAUUCACUUCAAUAUUUAUGAAGCCAAACAGUGUGCUAGAUCCUAGGAAUACAGAGACUAGGAAGUCAUUAAAGCAAAACAGUAUCUGUUUCUUUGUUGUUGUAUCCCUGGCCCCUAGGUUUUCAAUAAAUAGUGACUGAAUGAGUAAAUAGAUGUUAUUUUCUUGAGCAACUACUACAUGCCAGGUGCUAAGCUCAGCAUUGUAGCUGCAUUGUUGUAAUGAAUCCUCAGAAUCACAGCCCUAUCACACAAGGCCUGUAUCCUCCAAUUCAGUAUCCUGUCUCCACCAGUGACUGAAUUAUUUUUUAUCUUCAUCGUCGUCAUUAUGCCUGACCUCCAGAGGCUUAUCUUUUUUUUUUUUUUCUUGAGGACGAUUAGCCCGGAGC